rnacentral:tmRNA from 1 species
GGGGCUGCACUGGUUUCGACACGGGUUCGGACGCGUGGCAGGGCAUGUCGAGCUGAAUGUGCUCGUAAAAAAGAUUCAAACAAACUAACUGCAAACGACGAACGUUUCGCACUCGCUGCUUAAUUGCACGUGAGCCUCACAACGGCAGGCCGAUGGGCCGGGCAAGGGUGGCGCAAGCUGUCCAGGCUGUGGGGUAAUACACAUCGGCUGGUUUGGCACCGGGUACCUUGGUGUUGAACGAGAAAAUAGGGUGCUGGCGUUCUGGGUAGCGUGCGACUGCGCGACCCAGGAAGCGAGAUCCAAACCAGAUCGCUACACAUGUAGAACUGUACGAAGAAGGCUUGUGGACGCGGGUUCAAUUCCCGCCAGCUCCACCA